CCUACGGGAGGCAGCAGUGGGGAAUAUUGGGCAAUGGCCGCAAGGCUGACCCAGCGACGCCGCGUGCGGGAGGACGCUUUUCGGAGUGUAAACCGCUGUCAGAGGGGAAGAAACCUCCAGGUGGGAAUACUGCCUGGAAUUGACGGUACCCUCAAAGGAAGCACCGGCUAACUCUGUGCCAGCAGCCGCGGUAAUACAGAGGGUGCAAGCGUUGUUCGGAAUCACUGGGCGUAAAGCGCGCGCAGGCGGGACUGCAAGUCGGGAGUGAAACUCCGGGGCUCAACUCCGGACCGGCUACCGAAACUGCAGACCUGGGGACCGGUAGAGGCUGGUGGAAUUCCCGGUGUAGCGGUGGAAUGCGUAGAGAUCGGGAAGAACACCCGUGGCGAAGGCGGCCAGCUGGGCCGGGUCCGACGCUGAGGCGCGAAAGCGUGGGGAGC
rnacentral:rRNA from 1 species